GAGUUAACUGAGCAAAGUAAUGCAGGCAAGUAACUCAUACACAAUAGCCAAAAAUUAUCAAUUAUGAAAGAAACUACGCUAAAAAUCAGAACCAACAAUUUUAUUCCUUGGUCUCUGAUCCCUUAGCAGGGCAGGAAAUUUUAGAAGAAAAACAACAAACGUGAUUCCAUAAAGAUUCUCAUAAGGUAGAGCUGGACAAAAAUCAUGUGGGCUGCCUAUUUGCCUCCACAACAAACAGUGAAUCAGGGGGAAGGAAGGUAUAAAAUGUACCAAGCAAGCAAUAAAAUCUUCCUGACAAGGAAGAAAAAUGAAUCUUGUCUUAUUCAAGAUCACAAAAACCAUCAAAUAUUCAAAGCAACUGUGGUUACCCUCUCAUGCUGUUCAAAGGGGGUCGUUUUCUCCCACAAGUAAAUUCAACAAAAUAAAUUUCCUAGUUUAGAAGAGAGCUUCCUAAUCUGGGAGAUCGCCUCAUUUACAGGGGGAAAAAAAGAAAUAAAAACCGUAAAAUACAGCUAAAGCUAAAUCCUAUUGGCUAGUCCAUCGAAUCAAAGAAAAAAAUAUUACUCUGGCAGCUAAUUGUCAAUCACCGUGUCAAAAACAAUGUCACAUUUCCAUCCAACUCUUCCUUAGAUCUUCUUCUGGAUUUCGCGACCUCCUAAACAUUUUAUUAUUUUUCUAUACUUGGUGGAGUCAGUUGUUUAGCUUACAAUAGUCUGACUCUUGGCAUAUAACCAUGGGGAAGUGGGCAUCUCACCUUUGUCCAUGGAUAAAGAAAAGGACAAAUAAAGUUCACAACUUUCCAAGAAUUUCGAAACGAACCUUUACCAGCCAAACUAUUUCCCCAAUCUCCAAAGUCAAAACCUCAUUCCACAUUUCCCACCACUUCUUGUCCUUUUGCUAUCUCUCACCCACUAGAUCUAACCCGUACCCCUAAGUAUAUUAGUCUUAAAGUUUAAUAUAGUAUUCUUACCAUAAAGCUUUUCACCAUUCUUAUCAUCCAAUAUAAAACGCUCAAGCUCUAAAGUAGCAACAGUAACCAAUUAUAUCAUUGAUUUUCCUCGGAUCCCAACAAAAAUUACAGCUAUUUAAUUCACAAAUGAAAAGGGAAAAAAAACCAUCAGCGAAUUCUUUUUCAAAACGGAAAAAUUUUUAAAAAUAAAACGCACAAAGGAAAAAUGGAAAUAAAAAACUACAGUCGGUAUUUUUCUUUACCUGGUUAUUCAUAUGUGGUACAACCAAAAGGGAUAUCUUCCAGUAUCUCCAGUAGACUGAUGAUGGAUUCUCUCUUCACUGCAAAGUUUCCAAACCAUGAUCAUCAGCUCCAACACUAAAAACAUACUAAACCUUAACCUUCAAAAAAAAGAAAAUAAAAAAAAAAAGCUUUAGCAAUCAUAGAACAUCAAAAUUCAUGAAAUACAUUAAAAGAUCGAAUCCCAGUAACAGUAAAGCAAAACAGAUCAGAGAAGAGAAGCACAGAAGAUUUAGUGUGUAAAGAUCUAAAAUUCUCACAUACCAUCUAUAGCAAAAGAGGGAAAGAACAGUUUUUUUUUUCCAGCAGUAAUGAUGAAGAAAGAGAAGAAAAACCACCAAGUUAUAAAUUUUAUGCAGGGGGGGGCCUCCAGGCUUCAGCUAUAACAGAGGGAAUUCAGCUAUGUGUUACCAAUUUAAAUAGUGCUAGUAUUUUAGAGGGUCAACUCUCGCCAGUCGCCGCCCCAGAAGGAGGCAGCAGAAGCUCCUUCUUGGACCUUUGGAUGUAUGGAAAAUUGCAAAAUGGGGAGGGAGAAAAAGGAAAGAGUGGAUGGCAACUCUUAUUAUAUGUGUACACUGUAGAGGCAGACUGGAGCGCACGAAGUGGGCUAAAGAUAAUACUAAGUGGUAGUGUCCGUAACAAAUCAGUUUCAAUGCCAUUAAUUAUUGGAAUCAUCAUUAUCACACAGUAAUUAGUAGUAUUAAUUAAAAGAGGAUGUGUCUAAUUGUACCUAUUAGGUACGCGUUAAUAUAUAUUUGAAAAUAUAAGAUUAAUUAGAGAAUAUGUAUAAAUAUAAGAAAAAUUAAUAAUAAUUGUUAAUAUGUGUAUAUACAUGAUAGAUUAAAUAAAAUUUAGAUAUAUUAAUGAGUGUCGAAUGGACAUCAAUUUUAAAAACCGUAAAAAACUUAUGGUUAUGGCUUAAAGUCAUUAAUAAUUGGAUUCAUUACCACAGUAAGUAUUAAAAAGAUUUUGGUAAUGGGGUAACAUUUUCUUUUUUUUUUUUACUAUUAUUUUGGACGACAGAAAUAGAAAGGUAAAUAUGUUAUCUUAUAGUAAUUCUUUAUACAAAAUAUUGCAGUCGGCGAAGCUUAAGAUCUCUCUUUGGAGCAAGUUUUUAAAAUUUCAUUUUUCAGAUUGUAGGACAGAAAACAAGGGAAAAAUUGGGUCUUGAUGGAGGGUGGACAACAAAAUUUGGAUGGUUUUUUGUUCUCUGUCAGAUGUGAUAUUCUUUUAUUGUCAUAUAUGUGAGGUGAAGUGGGAAAGUCUGACAAUGGAAUUAGAAGACUAUUAACUAAAGAAGAGAAUAGAAGGGCUGACCAAAACUUUUUCUACGUGGAAAGGGUGCGCGUGGGGAGGCCUGGCAUAGGGACAAAGUGGAAGUCAAGAUGCGAGUUGGUUACUUGGAGAUGGAUUAUUGGAUUGGUGCUGUUUUCUUCUUCUUCUUCUUCUUGUCUUCUGCUGCAAUAAAGUUUAAAAAAAAACAAAUCAACAAGGAAAUUGAUGGGGUGCUUUAUGCUACUUAUUGCCAUACUAUCGUAUCAGCAAACUCUGGCAACAUAAAAAAGAUUACCAGAUAUAAAUAAAAAGGGCGAAAACUAAUAUAACCAAUUUAUGGAGUAUAAUUUUAUGUGUAUAGUUUAGUUUAGACUUUUUUAUUCCGGUCUCAAAGUAAAACCUUCUUAAAAUUUUGUAGAAUUUUUUUAAUAGGUGGUUAGGACAUUCUUUAGUAUACCUAAAUUACUGAUGUGAAUGCGCGCACCCAUUCGCGUUAAUUACAUCUCUUCAUUUAGACAUUUUUUUCAAAUUAAUUUCGCUUUUUAUCAAAAAAAAAUUAACAAUCAAGCCCUUUAUUUAAUAAUAGAGCAAGAAUUUCUCCCCAAUAUUUAACCAAUUCAAUCUCCAUUUAUUAGCCCACCACGAAUCAGACGGGAUCCUCUAUCCAUUAUAUCUGUUCUUUUUUUUUUAUCCAAUGCAAAAUUACGCAGUUCCACUUAUUAAUAUUGUUGAUGUGGCACAUAACAUUGAAUGCAUAUUUAGGGGUGGCAAGCUAUUGAAUGAGAGAAAAUAACGGAGUACCUCUUCAGUUCAGUGUGUUACGUAGACGUAAUUUUUUUUAUUACGUUAAAAGAGGUAUUGAUUAUAGUUUAAAAAAUCCCUUAUUUUGGAGAUAAACAACCUAUUAUGAUGGUUUCAGCAAACAACACCUGCUAUCAACUGCCCUUGAAAGCCAAAUGAUUUGAGUUUGAUGCUUUGCCUUUGGAUAUAUCGUUUUGCUUGGCGCGUGUACAAAUUUUGCCACUUAAAAAACACUGGGCUUUGAUUCAAUGGCUAAGAGAGCAGUUAUCUUGUGUAACAGUCAAGGGUUGGAGGAUACAGUAAUGUAGUUGUCGUUUAUCCCCAAUUGGACUUCCCAUAGUAUAAAAGUGGAGUUGAUUAUUAACAUUUGAUUAAAAAAAUCUAUUCAUCAAAUCUUAAUUUUCAUUUUUUUUUAUUAUCAAUCAAUAACUUCUACAGCAUUUCUACUCUAACCUGUCUAGGGAGGGUUCAACUGGAUUAAGGGGAUUAGAAAAAAGUGGUUUCCACCUUUAAAUCAAAGGGGAGCACUACUGCACAUUAAGUCUAUACAUCAAAAUUUAAUAAUUUUUUUUUGUACAGACCGAUUUUAUUUCACAUUGAAUCAAAAUGAAUUGAGAGGCCACAAUUUUCAAUUGUACUUCAAUUAUCUAGAGAGUUGCCAUCCCAAACUCAUGUACAUAUUUCCAUUUCUGGGGGUUAGAAUGCUUUUCUUUUUUGUCUUUAAUGCUGAACAUGAAUACUAUUCCCUCCGUCACACUUCACUUUGAUAGUUUUGAUUUUUUUUUCUCACACAGGUCAAGAAAAAUUAAUCAACUUUAUUGAAAAAGUUCAUCUAGUCUAGUAUUUUACUAAAAUAUCAUUACAUUAAUAUUUGGAGUGUUAUUAAUCAUUAUACCUUAACAUUAAUUACAAUAAUAAUAAUGAUGGUAUUUAAAUCAGUUGACUGUAUUAAAUAAGGUAACCUAUAUUUACUGAUAAUAAAGUAUAUUAAAUAAGAGUAUUUUAGAGAAGUUAAAAUUUUAGUAUAUUUUUCAAUGGGAAGGUUGAUUAUAACUUAGAACGGAUGAAAAAGAAAAACAAGACUAUUAAAAUUGAACGGAAAGAGUAUUAGCUUUCAAUCAAAUGUACGUUUGAAUUGCAAUAUCUUCCACAUUGAAACCAUAUAGUAAUAAUCAAUUUAGAAAAAAAAAAAAGUAUAAAAUGUUUGAAUUCAUUAAGAAUGUUUGACUUGAAAGAGAAAGGCUUUACUUUGGUUUCCUACGCAAACACUUGUCCUUCACAGAAUUAUUGCUUAAUUAGGUAAGCUUGAUUUACAUAUUCAUUUGGUUUUCAACUUUCAAUAAAAUGUUUGCUCGAAGUAUUCUCGAUCAUCCAAAAUAAGUUAGUUUGUCGGACUCUAAUUUCUGAUCUAUAUGGUAAUUAGCUCCGCUGAAAUUUUGCGUCUGACAAUUAAGGCAAAAAAAAAAAAGAAAAAAAAAGCUUCCUACUC
rnacentral:lncRNA from 1 species